AGGAUGGAGGGCUUAGCUGAGGGACACUUCCCAAAAUCAAUCAAGAGGCACUGGCAAGAGAUAAGAAGACUGGAAAAAGAGAUUUCUGCUUCUGACUCUGACAGAAGGGUAGUUGCUGGAGAUUGCUAAAGCGGUUUCAUCUGGCUCAUUCCGGAUUUCUGGAAUUGGCAGCCUGAGCCAAUUCCAGACAUAGCUGCAGCGGU
rnacentral:lncRNA from 1 species